UACGGAGGGUGCGAGCGUUGUCCGGAAUCAUUGGGCGUAAAGGGCGCGUAGGCGGCUUCUCAAGCGUGCGGUGAAAGUCAGGGGCUCAACCCCUGAUCGGCCGUGCGAACUGGGGGGCUGGAGCACUGUAGAGGCAGGCGGAAUUCCGGGUGUAGCGGUGGAAUGCGUAGAGAUCCGGAAGAACACCGGUGGCGAAGGCGGCCUGCUGGGCAGUGGCUGACGCUGAGGCGCGACAGCGUGGGGAGCGAACAGG
rnacentral:rRNA from 1 species